CAUGCCCAUCAAGAUCGUCGGCGUUGCCGCUCUCACGGUCCUGCUAUUUUCUGAAGUCAUGUGUGCUUGCACUUAUGAUGCAUUGACUCAAGAAAUAGAAGAGAUCUUUCUAUUUUCUGAAGUCAAUCUCAAUUGUUCACCUAUCCUUUUAUACAUGAGUAGAAGUCCUAAUAAGAGAAAACAAAGUAUGGUACCUAAACAGUAGUAGAUAUCAAUAUCAAUAUGUGAGCUAUAACGAUUACUUGAUCUUUAUGGCAUGGACGAUGUGUUUGACAACACUAUUACCUUGUAAGGUCUGCUUGUUCUUGCUAUAUAUUGCAUGUGCUAGAUAGCUCCUAUCCAAACUUGUAGAAGUCUGCGUCAAUAGCACUUAUACUUAAUUUUUAAAUUCUCUAUUUUGUUAUGUCGGUUGAUGACACCAGUUAAUCAUGCUCUUUGUGUGUGUGUGUGUGUGUNNNNNNNNNNGAUCCUUUUAUACAUGAGUAGAAGUCCUAAUAAGGGAAAACAAAGUAUGGUACCUAAACAGUAGUAGAUAUCAAUAUCAAUAUCUGAGCUAUAACGAUUACUUGAUCUUUAUGGCAUGGACGAUGUGUUUGACAACACUAUUACCUUGUAAGGUCUGCUUGUUCUUGCUAUAUAUUGCAUGUGCUAGAUAGCUCCUAUCCAAACUUGUAGAAGUCUGCGUCAGUAGCACUUAUACUUAAUUUUUAAAUUCUCUAUUUUGUUAUGUGGGUUGAUGACACCAGUUAAUCAUGCUCUUUGUGUGU
rnacentral:lncRNA from 1 species